CACGUAGGGUGCGAGCGUUGUCCGGAAUUAUUGGGCGUAAAGAGCUCGUAGGCGGUGUGUCGCGUCGGCCGUGAAAACCUGCAGCUUAACUGUGGGCGUGCGGUCGAUACGGGCAUCACUGGAGUUCGGCAGGGGAGACUGGAAUUCCUGGUGUAGCGGUGAAAUGCGCAGAUAUCAGGAGGAACACCGGUGGCGAAGGCGGGUCUCUGGGCCGAUACUGACGCUGGAGGAGCGAAAAGCGUGGGGGAGCGAAACAGG
rnacentral:rRNA from 1 species